UAGCAGGAGAGGAGAGUGCUAGGGCAGAAACAGGAGGACUGCAGUGUUUUGGUUAUGAUCCUCAGUGUGGAUGGUACAGAAAUGAAAGCAACACUGUCAAGCCUUUUUGACUACAGUUAAAAUUCUUAUUUGCUAUCAGAAAAGAUUAUGUUAAACUAGCCGUACUUGGGCUGGAGGUACCUUAAAGACAUACUGCAAUGACAAAAAGCAUUACCAACACGAAGAUGCAAUUGCCUUUCAUGGGAGCUUAGCUUCCAGGAAGGGAGCAAGUCUGCGGGGUGCUUGUGGUGUCUGGUCACAGGGGACUUUCAGCUGAGCCCCCUUCAGGCUGCCAUUCUGGGAAGCUCAAAGCCUCAACACUCCACACCACCCCGCAGCACCUGCUGGCCCCCAGAGCAUCAGCUCAGAGCAGCACCACGGAGACAUUUCCAAGAAUGGAAUUUUUCAAAAAGAGUGCACACACAAGAGAGCAAGAAGGAAGGAGAAUGCUCUAAAUAUGUCUUUAGCCAGAAGAAAAAGAGAGAGAAUAAAGCGAGUCAUUUGUAACGUUACGUACAGAGGAUUCUGGUGUUGUGAUCUUUCACUUUUGCCCUGCAUUUAAUACUGAAGAUCACUCAGCCAUGGUGAAACCAGAUGGAGGAAAUUCUCUCCUGCAAGACAUGAAGGCCAAUGACGGAUGAUGCCAGCUGCACUACACAGUACUGCUGCUCUCUCACUCUUGAAAGAAAGCUUUUUCCAGGUGCCAAAUCCAAUCAGAACAACGUAGGUAGCUCAGCUGAUGACAGGGAACCAGAUCCAGUGUGCUGCGAGGAGCAAAAUGCACCGGCAGCUUCAGGAAUCCGCACCCCCAGGAGCCAGACCACCUGGCCUGUCCACACCACCAGGUUUCCUAAGACAUCCCUCCCAGCUCCAGCAAACUUCAGUACCCCCAGGAGAGCCUGAAAAAGGACUCUGAUUAAGGACUACUUCUAGGGGGUUUCCCUCAGCUUGCUUCCACCAAGGGCAGAGAAAAUAUUAAAAGUGGCACACUUCUGUUAAAAAGACUCAAGAGUUAUAACUAGAAAAUGUACAAAAGAAAAGUUACAGCAGAAACAACAAAGAAAACACUCUCCUGAGCCAUAAAUAUCCCUGGUUAGUUCUUCCUGAGACCAAACUCCUGGUGCAUUUAAUGAGCACUUGGCACAAAACAAGAAUGACGCCAGGGCCAGGAGACCUCUGAGCAAGACUUCAGCCCAGGUCUAUACUCCAGCCAAAGCCCGUUGAUCUUGGACUGCGUAUUGUACAUUGCGCUCUGGCAGUUUUUCAAGCAUCUACAGAGAAAGCUUACAGGGCCAAGUUUUAAGAAUGUGUCUGGACUUACAGCUUCAGUAUUGGAUUUGCUUUUGUGAAGAAGAGGCUGCCUUUAAGGCUGACCUGGAAAAGACAUAUUCAGGGAGCAUACUUGCUAAAUGCUUCAGCUUUUCUCUUUUGUUUCCAAGAACAGAAGGUUGUACAUAAAACACACUCCAGUAUUCAUGACUAAAGCUUCAGUUCUUUUUUAAAUGGUGAUACUUCCGAACUCAAGAUCAACCUGUUGUAAACAGAAAUAAGAUCAAUCUGAACUCCCAUUUGUUUGCUUGACGGAGGCAACUUUGAAAGCAAAAUAGAAUGUAGAAGAAGAAAAUCAAGCUGCCUUCAAAGACCAAAUAGAGAAUGAUACAACUGAAAAAUAGUUAUGGAGACAGAGAACAACCUGCCCUCUAUAAACACCUAUGGUUAAAUCAGAUUCAAUAAGAUGUAACAUGGUAUAAUGGUGGCAGAGGUUAUUGAAAUCGCCAUUGACGGAUUUGCCGUGUGUUUUGGUGCUGAACACAUUACAACGUGGUUAAAGGAUCUCGUUAUGAAAAGCAGUUACUGUUAGGAUUUAUGCACAAUAUAUUUCACUUACAAGCCUUUUGUCUUGGAAGGAUAUGACACAAGAGAGAGAGGUAAAGGUUGGGAAGGGAGAAAAGGGGGGGCAUAAGGGCUUUUGUUCCACACGACUUGCAUUUGGAUCAUUAAAAAUGUAUCUAGCUAUACCUGGAAUAUUUCUCUUGUGAGGGAUAGAAAUACAAUACCCCUCGACCAGCUACAACAGUUUUGUUGGAGGGAUUGUCACAGGCAGAAGCAACCCAAAUCUUCCCCACUACAGCCGGGCAGAGCAGGUCCCUCCUGGCAGGAAUACCUCAAUAAACUCAAAGACAGGCUUGCAGGAGUAACUUGCCAUUGCUACUGAGUUUCAGGGGUGAUUUUUUAAGGCACCUUCUGGGUUACAAACAUGAAAAUAGGGCACUCCAGACCCUCAGCCACCUGAAUACAGCCGACAGUGGAUGCUCAUCUCUAACAUUUCUCACCAAAGUGGGUAUUGAUUUCAUUUCUCACUCUAGACUAGUCGCUUGACCAAGCUGCACUUCAACGUUUAACGUGUUGGUCACACUGGCAGGUGGGGACUUGUGGUCUGUAGUCUAUCUUAUGGUGACCUUUAUGACUGUCACAGUCUUAAUCGUAAUAGAAAAGACUGAUGUAAAGGCAUUCAUGUCGUUAUUUUUAGCAAUAGGGAAUGAAAUAGUUGAAGGAGUAGUAAGGUAUGAGUAGAGUGGCAUUUAUUGUCCCCUGUGGAUGAAUGCAGUGAUUUCUUGUACAGUUUAAUUUUUAAUUUUUUAUUUUUUUUUAAGGACAAGGACAAAAAGUUGGCUGGGUAGGCAGCUGAGAGGUGGUAAGUGCUCUGUUGCAGGAGGAGUGCUCAGAAUAAAGGCUGAGCAUCAAGGCUGAAAUUCCUCACAUUAAGUACUCAUAUUUUCCCAGCAUCCUUCUUCCUCUCCAACAAAACUGAGCAGAGAGUUUGUACCUCAAAACUAAAGAUGAGCCAGUGACCUCCUGAAGUCUUAUACAAGUUUCAUGUUUGUUCAGCUCAACAUGGAAGAUGCUCAAAUUAUGUAGCCAUUAAAAACCACCAGAAGAGUCCAGCCGGCAGGGAGUUUGCAAUAUAUGAUGCUGACCUAUGAGCUGGAAGAUCUCUGCUCCCACGAGGAGCUCUAAUAGCAGAAACUGCAUUUUUCAUGGAGACUGGUCUCACCACACAGCCUUUCCCCCCUGCCCUGUAAGAAAUAAAUGAGAGGGAUCAAUAUUUAUUCAUCCUGAUUUUGUCAUUUGCUAGCUUCCCUGGUAAUUUUUGAUGGCUUUCCACUUUCCAAACUAUCCCUUCUUUCUACAAGCACUACCACCUGUCCAAAACAUUUCCCAGCUAUUACAGGAGCUGUAUCAGCAGCCCCCAGCAGAAAUUGGCAUGCAGCAGCACAAUGCUGAUAGGAGACAAGGAAGACGUACCCCUCCUUGCACCUUAAUCACAGCUGAUCCCAAAUCACAAUGUCUGCCAGCUCAGGAAGAACCUGUGAUUUAUGGUGAGGUCCUCCCUGCUGUGAAGGGUUAACUUGAACCCUGCCUGCUACUCGAGCUCCCAGGCUGACCCUCAGUGAAAAUUAAUAGCUUGUAUCUGUUUAAUAUUCCUUCCCAGUGCAUUGCCAGAUCUUUUCAUCUGUAUUUAAAUGGAUCAGUGAUUUUCAUCGUCAGUUGUUUCCUCAUUCCUCUUACAGUUUUUACUAAUCCUUUCCUGUUUGUGGGUGUUUUUUAAUUCACGAAGGAAAGUCAUUUGUUCAUUGUUUUAAUAUUUACUUCACAAGAGUCCUAUCAAGCUGGAGGUAAAGGACUCGUGCCAUUUCAAGAAAUCUACGUUGUUUUGCUCCAGUUAAAGAAGUGGUCCCCUCUACAGAUUUUAUAGGUUACAUUGCAGACAUGGCACCGUCAUUUGCAGCUAACCAAACUGUGCGAGUUAGGCCCAGAUUUCCUAACCACAUGGAUCAGUAUUAUUUGUCAUGCAAGGCGCUGAUUUAAAACUGAUGCAUCUGUUACAAUCAUUGAUGCUCAAGAUGGAAAAGAUCCAUAGGGAGGCUUUCAGCUUUCCAUUUAGUGCUAAAGUGGAACUGAACUCUAUCAGAUGUAUUAUUAUUGUCAUUAUUAUUUAAUAUCCCCCUCUGCCUCUGCUGUGUGCUCGCCACUUAAUGGAAAACAUGAGUACAGACCUUGUCUCGGAUUGCUUGCCAUCCAAGUGACAGACUAGACAUCUCAGUGACAAUAAAACAAAUAUCACAAAGAGAAGGGCCAGGAUCCUCCUGGAAGGGCUGUAAAGGUGGUCACAGCAAUUUUGGGUCUGGUUUUGCUGUUGAAGUGUAAAUGCAAUGAUAGAGUUGUGAGUCUUUAAGAAUGGCAUGACAAUUCAUGGAUUCGAGGAGUGUAUUUGAGCACUGAAACUUUACUAGCAUUAACACCAAAACAUGAUAAAAGGAAAGAAAUGUAAUGAAAUAUUUUGAUGAUGUUUAAUAACAGAGAUGAUCAACCACUAAACUUGCUGCUGCAAUCUUCCUCUUUUAGGAGUGACUUCAGAUGCUCCACAAGCAUCGGGCACUAUCUUGCUCUCAGGCUCGUCUUAGCCAUGCUUCUAAGCUCAGGGACUUCUUUAUCUCAGAGGAGCUGGCUCAUGCCACCUCCAGCUUGGAGCCUGUCCUUGUGCAGUUUCUGCAGGACUUACAUGCCCGACUUUCAAAAAAAUGAGCAUGGCAGCCAAGGCUGGGACCUGUGUGUCUUUAGGGAUGCACUUUGUUGCACUUCAGUAUGCAGGUUAAAGAACUGCAGAGAUACCAAGUUUCCAAGAAAACCUCACGUACAUUAACCUUGGGAAAAGGCAGAGGACAUUCUUCUUGCUGCCAGGUGACCAUUGGAGCUCAGUGACGGUCACGUUCAUCACCCAGAUGAGCUGUCCUCAGAAAAUCAUGUCUUGAAGUUGUUUGGAUCUUAAUGAGUGAUCUAUGAGCUAUCAAAUAUUUCACAUUCUAUAUGGAAAUUUUGAGUGCCCUAAGUGCCACCAUGGCUGGGGUGGCUGCAAAUAUUGUAAAUAAUCUCCUCAGUUUAAUGAGUUACCAAACGAGCAAAGGCUCGUCUACCAGGUAAUGAGUCACAGCCUCACUUCGUUGUCGAUAAGCCGAGACACCUGAUUUACUGCAAGGGCUACCUGUACCAAAACUAAUCAGAGGCUAUCGAGGAAACCCAAACAGAUCCAACCCACCACAGUUUAAUCUCCCCACAAAUAAAAUGUACUCAUAAAUCAGGUCAAGCAAGUAAAUGUGCCCCUCUAAUGCCGCUAUUAGGAAAAAUAAAACCACAAAAAGCUCAGUAGGAUGUGAAAACCAUUAUGGUUUCCCUGGGUAAUGUCAGCAGUAUUACACUAAUUCAUAUUACACAGGGAGCUAUAAGAUACUUUCUGCCCUUACAGUUGGCUAAUUAGUCAAGAUAGGAAAAGCAAUUUGACAAAAAUGUUGAAGUCUCAGUUUCCAUUUUGAAGCUUAGAAUGGUUAUGUUUUUACAUUUUUCAUUGAAUUUCUCAGAUAAACGGAGGAGAAAAGAUAGAUAAAAGGUGGUAAAUGAAUGUCUACAAAGAGAAGAGUGGAGACAGAGUUUGUACUUGGGAGAGCGGGGCCUCUGGAACUUUGAUCCCAACAGGUCAGUUCAGCACUGCUGCAAUUUAUGUAAGACAACAAGGCUGAAUAUUAUGAAAGCUGAUUUAUUUUAUUUAUUUAUUUCUGAAAAGAGCUUGAUUCUCCUCCUCUUAGCAGAAGUGCAACUUCACUGUGCUGUUUCAGAACUGCAGUUUUUCUCUGGUUUUAAGACAGGAAAGAAUCAAGAAUCUUCUGCUUGGGAAAAGACUAAUGAUAUAUAUCCACAUGGAGGAAGUUGUACAAGAAAGUUUGUUAAUGUUAUUUAUUGUCUUAAGAUGUUGUACUCUAUUUUCCUUCAAUGUGAUGCACGCACACUAUUAAUAAUAACAGCCCAUGGCAUUUAGGACAAAAAUUCUAGGAAAUAAAUCUGCAUUCAAAGCUAUCUCUCAGCUUCCACAUACUGGUCAUAAAUCAUUGAAGAGACAGUUAUGAUUGAUUUACAGGGAGAUUUUUAUAUUACCAUAGAUAUAUAUGUUGCCUUCUGUACAACUGUCCUUCAUCCGUAAUUAUACAGCCAAACAUAUCCUCGGUAAUUGAUAGGAUGUUUUC